UACUUUCACACCACCACAUUUUCCACUAGUUUUGGUCAUUUUUUUAUAUGUUAUUUAAACAUUUCCUUUUCCUUUUCUAAACAAUUCACUUUCAUAUUUCAGAAACCCAGGAUAAUCCUGCCCAAGGGCCGACUGGAUCCAUGAGUGUCGCCAGCAUACGACCCGGGGCAUUCGUGUAUGUCUCCGUGCCAACCCAGUCAAACAGGGCUGUGCCGUUUGUCACGGAGGUUGGUUAACAAAUUAGUUACCCAUCUAUAUAGCUUAUUUAAAUUUUCCGAAAAUAUUACAUCGUCUUUACAAUCAUUACAACUAGAUACCAUUGUAUGGCAAGUCUGUACAUCGAUUUCGACUUACCACUUACCACACCAAAUCUUACCUGAAAAACAUGUGCUGAUUUUUUCUUUACAGGUUACUUCAGAGAACCCACUCAGGGUGAAGUACCUCCAGCCCAACAAAGCGAAAGGAUCCUGGAGGUUCCCAGAGCAGGAUGACAGGGACACCAUCAACAGCGAAGAUAUUAUCAAGGUUUUGGCGGCACCAGAAACAUAGAUUUCUGGUUCCCGUUUUUAUGCAGAAUUUAGAGACUUAAUGUAGAUUUUUGUAUAUGUGUUGUGUUGUAGAUUUUUAUAUGUAUUUUUGUUGUAGAUUUGUAUAUAUUGUAAACUCUGUAAUCUAGAUCUAUUCAUAAAAAAAAACUGUAAAAUUAAGCACUCGUGUAUAAUACGCACCCUUUUUUCUUAUUAUUUCAGAUAUACGGUAUUAAAUACGAAAUACAUUAUACAUGCUA